GCUGUGAUUUUCAUUGUGCUGGUGAAGAAACAGACAGUGAGGAGAGGCUCCCAGCUUUGGUCGAAGAGCCCGGACGGUGCCGAGCCACCUGCUGGACACUCAGACCCUCUCCGGACUCCAAUCUCUCUCUCUCUUUAUAUUAUUAUUAAUAUUAUUAUUAUUAAUUAUUAUUAUUAUUUUAGAGAGAGAGCACGAGUGGGGGAGAGAGAAGAAGCAGGUUCCCCACUGAGCAGGGAGCCCGACUCGGGACUCGAUCCCAGGACCCCAAGAUCAUGACCUGAGCAGAAGGCAGAUGCUUCACCGGUGGAGCCCCCCAGGUCACACAAUGGUGAACCGAGGCGCCCGGUGGGGAUGGUGCCCGUGAUGACCUCCUGCAUCGCUCGUGCCCUCACGACCUGGAGCGGCUGAAGGAGCGCGGAGCCCCGGGCACUGAGGACCCGAUCCAUGGCACUUCCUUUGGGCGCAGGGCGCAGCACACAGUGCCUGGAGCCUACUGUUCCUGUCCUCCCUCCUCCGCCUUCGCCUAAUUCCAGGUCUGCUUCUGCCUGCGGGACUCCCCUGUCCCCGGGCCGAGGGGGGAGAGGCGGGCUCGAGGGCGCCAUCGGGAAGAUGUAAGACCUACGGAGGCUGCGGCUGGAGGAAGCGCAGUACCUGCCCUCCUGCGGGGAAGCUGUUUGGUGGGGAGUUCUGAGCAUAACGCAGUCACCCAGUCUGCGGGCUCUGUGCUUUGAUAGAUGCACCCCAGCAGGUGCGCGCGGGGCCCCCUGUCUAGCAGUGGCCAGUGCCGGAUGGUUCUGCAGUUUCUCGUGAGCCCCUGGGUCACCUGCACCCCCUGCACCUCGCACACCACCCUCUCCUGCCCGCCGUGCCAGCACAGAAACACAGGACCCCCAAGGGAACAGCAAACUGCCUUUUCAUGGCUCAACAAAGAUGCUUCGAGAACGCGCCUUAAAACAAAUUCUGUUGGGAGUUGUCAAGGCUUCUGCCCCAAGGGCAAGCCCACUUUGAGGGGAGGUCAAAGGCAUCUGGAGCUUUCCAAACUGCUGUUAAAUCUAACACUCCAAGAGCCAACAGGACAGAUUAAAAUUGGAUUUUGCCUGCAAUACCAUUUGGAUCGAGCCUGCAUUGCUGAAUGUGUCCUCCAGCCGGGGAGCCUGUUGCAGACCCUCUGCCAGCCUCAGGCUCUCGAACACGGCUCCCAAGCAGCGUGACUGCCUUCUGUGGGAGAGGCCUGGCUGCUGGGAUGGGGAUGGGGUUGGGAUGGGACUGUCCGAGUGCGUCGGACCAUGCCUGCCCAUCUCUGAGCAGCGCUCUCCUCCCUAUGACAACAGGUGUGCCACACUACAAACACCCAGCUUCGGGAAAGGAAUUCACAAACAAGUAUAACAGGAUAUUCAGAAAACUGGUGCAGGGUGACUCAUCUCAUCGAACGCAAACUAUCUGGGAUGUGACGGUCUGCUGUUGCAUUGGCAGCUCGGUCCGGCGAGAAAAAUGGAUUUAAGGAAACCAAGUGAACUAGGUCAACGAAGAUGCUAUUUCCUGGCAGCUCUGGACCCGCUAAACUCUCCUCAUGGUUAGGAAAGAGUCUCCCAUGGGCACCUUUAAAGGAUGUGACACAAUUUGACCGAAUCCAGGCUGCUGUGUUGUGUUUUCUCAACGUGAAUCCACCUGCCUGAUGUCCGUCUUCUUUACUCCUGAAGUGCAUUCACACAUCGGGCCGUUCAAGAGCUCUCCUGGCUAAAAACUCCCCUGAGUUUCUCUGAUCCAGCCUUGGAAGGUGCCCCAAAGAGGCCCUGGGAUGCAGCUCACUGGUGGCUGAGGACACCAUAUGCUUUCUUAACUUGACUGUCUUCACCCUCUCAAUCAGAUGUAUGUCCAGACUGCACUUGUCCACGGUUCAUUAGCUCCUAAAGAAUUUGACCUGGUCCACGUCGCUUUGUCCUCCGAAGAAAUGCCUAGGGAAUUCCCCGAGUGAGGUCCACAGACAAGGACCCUGCCCAAAGAGAGUGUUCUUGGUUUUUGGUGACUCAGGGCCUUCUCUUUACACAGAGUAAUCUUCAAAGGGCAGGUUGGAGAUGUGUCAGCUCCAGACACAGCAAAUGACUAUGAGUUCAGAUUCCCAAACUUUCCAUUUUCCUGUUAUUUCCCUGCCAUCUCGUUGGACCACAUUCCUGUGUCUGCUCUUCCCAUCCAGAACGUGUGGGUGCUAAUCUUUGCCUCUGACACCUGUUAGUCAUUCUGUGUCUCAGGUCCCAUUGGUGAUAUGGGGUAAUCACCGUGUUUACCACACAGGCUUGUUGAGAAACCUCCACUUCACAGUGAUAGGUGAUCUGAUCAAGUGGAGGUGAUACAUUAAGCUCAACAAAGAUUAGACAGCAGACUUGGGAAGACCAUAGCAUCUUCUUUCCAGGUCUCGUUUCCCAUAGAAGGUAACACUGAUAGGAAUCUGUUGUGGUGAAUGCUCAUCAUUUCUGGAAACACAGGAGCAUUCAUGGAAAGACACCUGUAGGCUGAGGUCUUAGCUCCUAUUAAGACCUGAGUAAUAGCCUCAGAUUUGCAAACACACAGGCUCUGGUUCUGCUUUCUUAGCUGGGCAUGUGUUCACAGGUGUCUUAUCUAGUGCUUAUAGGCCAGAAAGGGCCACGUUCUAGGCAAAUAUCAAGAGAUAUGAGCUGAAUGUGGUUUUAAUAUGCUGGCAUCAUAUGAUAUCACUGACUUUGAGAAGUACCCUGCAUGAUCCAACUUACUGAAGAAGGAAGGGAUCAUUUGCUCCAGAGUAAAGUCAAAACAGUAAAACUGCUUGAGGAGAAAAUGACCUUUCUUGUCCUUACACGUAUCAAGUGGAUUCUUGGGAAAGUAAGCCCAGCAAGGAUUCCCUGUAACUAACGGCUGACUCCACUAGACUCCAAGAAGCCAUUACUUAAUUUUAUUACUCUAAACUGACCAAUUCCAUCACGAGGCACCCUUGGGUUUCCACAGGGUCACGUUGGUGAGGUAACGUGUUGUACCCAGGCUGGGGACAUCAGCUUUUUGAUUUUUUGUCUUAAUUCCAAGCUUAUAUUUCCACUCUUACUAUUUAGCAAGAUCCUUGUUUUGAUGCGCUGUCAUCAACACCUGAUAUAAUCAGGAUUGAAAACACAGUUUAAAAUCUUGCCCCCACACCUCAGAUAAAGCUGAACAUCCAUGAUGUUUGAUGAUACACCAUGGUCCGCUGCUGGCUUCUUCCUGCAGGAGAGGUAGUUCUGCAGCCAGCCAGUCCAGGCUUUUCGUAUUUCUGUGUAUUUGUGUAUAUUCUUAGGCAGGUCCAUGCUUGAGUUGCUUCAUGGUUAGGAGGCAGUCAUUAGCUUCUAAAGAAUCAUCUGGAAUCCUCUAGCAGAUGAUACACAUAAAAGUAUAAAAAAGAAAUAUAAAGAAGGAAGUAAUAGACUUAGUGUGAUAAGUAAUUUGUAUAAUUGGCUGCCUCUAAAACAGACAUACGUAACAAGUAAUACAUCUGCAACAUCCUUUGCUUCUUUACCUUUACACAAAGAAGAUGGAUCUAGGUCUACACAAGUGUGUACAUUAAAUAUUCAUUGAUGGAUUUAUUCUAAAAUUUGUGAGUGUCCA